CAAAGGGCAGCGAAACCGCGAGGUCAAGCAAAUCCCAUAAAGUUGUUCUCAGUUCGGAUUGUAGUCUGCAACUCGACUACAUGAAGCUGGAAUCGCUAGUAAUCGUAGAUCAGCAUGCUACGGUGAAUACGUUCCCGGGUCUUGUACACACCGCCCGUCACACCACGAGAGUUUGUAACACCCGAAGCCGGUGGAGUAACCUUUUAGGAGCUAGCCGUCGAAGGUGGGACAAAUGAUUGGGGUGAAGUCGUAACAAGGUAGCCGUAUCGGAAGGUGCGGCUGGAUCACCUCCUUU
rnacentral:rRNA from 1 species